GCCUCAUUGGCGCAGAUGGCAGCGCGUCAGUCUCAAAAUCUGAAGGUUGUGGGUUCAAACCCCACGGUAGGCA